ensembl:lncRNA
UAACCAUUCACAAAUCUUUUUUCCAAAUCAAUUUUCGUGGAACUGUAUAUAUUCCCACAGAUGGGCUUCUGCUUUUUUCCAAGAGAUGGUUUGCAGGGGAGGUGGUUUCAAACUAAUGACUCGCCCUAAGGAGAAAAUGCAGCUUCAUUCAUGUAACAAUUGAAACCAUUAGGAUAGUCAUAGAGUGCAUACAGACUGGGUAUAAAGAAGUACUUGCAUGUUAUUAGAAAAAUGAGUACUGCUGAUUUUUGGAGCUUGUGAAGGUCACCUCUUUUUUUUUUUUUUUUUUUUUUAAACUUUAGAUUUCCCGUACAUGUACUGGAGUAACAAUUAUCUACCUAUAAGACAUCUGAAACAUAAGCAUAAUGGAAGGAAUAUUGCUGAUAUGAUAUCAGGAGGUUUCUUCUGACAUUUACAAGUUUUAAAACUUCUAUAAUAUGUCCAGCUCAGUUGAGCUUUAGUCCCUGAGUACUGAUUGCUGCAACUAUUCUGUCUCCUGAUGAAGACAGUCUAAUGAGCACUUUUAUACGUAUUAAAAAUCUUCCUUUAUUUGCAAUUUUUUGUCCAAAAGACCCAACAAAGGGUUAUGAAGAAGACUCAGAUGAUGGAUAACCUUUCUUUGUAGUGCUUUUUGCUGGCAAAAUUUAGUUGUCUUUCCAGACUUUGGCAUCUGUCAUUUACCCCUACAAAGUCAGAAAUCCCCUCUUAACAUGCAUAGUUAGUCAGUGAGGUGUGCUAAAAAGAGAUUAAAGAGAUCAAAUAAGAGUUUAUUUUAGAGAGCAAUGCAAACAUCAACAGAAACCUGUCAACAAAGUGCAGGCAAUUUUAAUUUGGCAAGCUCUGUACAAAUCCAAUCACCAUUUGGAACUCCAGGAGGAUUGUUCUACCUUGAUGAAUAACAAGAUGCAUUGGAAUGUGCUUGGGAUUGUUCUUUCAGCCCUGGCAGAUCAUAAAGUGACCAUUCUACCACUGUGAUGCCAGAAGCCUCCUGCCUUCGGAAGUUAUGAAAUAGACUGAUCCUGCGCCACGGUAGUUAUGUGCAACAAAGCCUGAUUUCUGUGGACUUUCAAGGAAGUAAUUGAGCAAAUAAUUCAGCUCUGAGAAUGUGAGAGCAAUGACAAAUCUUACUGGGUUAGAGGCAAUUGUAGGUGACAAGCUGUUUUACAAUGAAGCCACUUGUAUUCAGAACUUCUGAUCCUGGUUGACGAGUGUAAUUUUAGCUACACAGGCUUAAAGUUUUUAAUUUAAAUUCAGGAGGGGCUUACCCACUGAAUUUCUCUUGUGGAAAUGGAUUUCCAGGCUGGGAAAAACUCUAGCUCUUAGGCAGUUUUCCCAUUUACUAAGUAUAGCUGUUCAUUUUAAUUUGCAUAAAGAACAUGGAUAUGUAAGUCUCCAAUUACUUUAAAAGCAGUAUUUCAACAGAUACAGUGAAGUAAUUAGUUUAAUGAGGAAAUGUCAUUACAUAGUGGAAAGCUUGGUUUGCCAAGGAUCAAUUUGUUGACAUUUGAAUCCAACUAGAAAUGAAAUGCACAGAACAAAAAGUAAACGAUUUUAGUAAAAGCCACCUCGUCCGUUUGGAACAAAUGGAAAGUAUGUCUGCUUCUCCACCAGAGGGGCUAAGUAAGGGGGUUUUCUGCAUUAGAAGACUUACAAAUGAUCGUUUAAAAUAUGAAGAGAGUAGGAAAGUUUAUUGUGCAAACGUGGGGAGUCAACAAGUUCCUUUUGUGAAAAGUAGAAUAAUUAUUUCCAGAAUACAUUUUUCCUAUAUAUAAAAUGAGGAUAUUUAUUACUUACAUCUUUUCAGAAUUGUGAAGCCUAAUUCAGAAACAUCUGGUAAUGUCUCUGAAAUUCGCAAUCAGGGCAGCAAAUAUCCUAACUUUUAUAUCUGGAUUUCAUUUGCUUGACUGUUAACCAUUAUUGAUACACUGUCAUAUAAAUUCUUCGUAUCUCCCAUACAAAUAAAGCACAAGAUAUUGCUCUAAGAACUUUCCUGUCUAUACUGGAGAUUACAGCAGUAAUAAAUCAAGUUAUAACAACGAAAAAUAACUACAUAGGAAAGCAGUAAAGAAUAUAGCCAUGAGAGGUAACAAAACAGUUUCUGUUAUGUACGUAUUUUAUUAGUCCACCCAAAUAGCCGAAAUGGCAAGAUGCCUUUUACCAGGAAGAAGGCAGUCUUCCUCGGUGUACAAAAUGAAUGUGAACACUGCUGAUACAGCAGGCAAAUGUGGAAUUACCUUAAAUGUCUACAACACAGUGAUUUUCAGUUCUUGAAAAUUACAUUCUUGAAGAUUAUACAAUCACUUUACCAACAAAAGCUUGGAUUUAAAUAUUUAAAUAUAUAUAUAUUUAUAUAUAUAUAUAAAUAUAUAUAUUUAAAAUAUAUGGCCAAAAAUGAAAAUUAUAUUUUGUAUUUUUCUUUGCAUAAUUUAAAUAGCUAGCAUUAGUAUUUAUUGUCAAGAAUCAUUAAUCCCUAUUUUAAUUAAAUGGAAUGGUGGUAUCUAAGAUCAUUCAUGUCAGUGUUGUAUAAACACUCAGAUAUAAGCUAGCAAUGGUUCACUUUGUCCUCUGGAGAUUGUAUAAUCAUGCCUGCCAGAAGUAACUAUAUUAAAAUAAUAAAAACCCUGCUGAAAAGCAGAGGCUAUCUCCACCGCUGAUAUUCAGUCAACAGAGAAAAGCUCUUUUAACAACGUACAGCUAUGCUACACAACAGCUUCAAAUGGAAAAUGAAGAUCUAAUAUUCAAAAUUGCACUGAUAAAGAUUCAGUUUUGUGGUAGGGGUAUUAGCUGUGCCCCAGACCUCUGCUGUAUUCUACUUUCAUCUCCUUUUGUGGUAUUGACAAAAUUGCUGCAGGAGGACUUCAGUCUUGCAGAGAUGGUUCACAUUAGAUUCACCCAUCCCUCCUCAUGCUGACACUAUAAUGGGGCCCAGAUGGGAGGCAGCACCAAGGCUUCAUGUCAAACUUCAUUCCAAAAUUCAUGUCAAAGGCUUCAUUCCAAAAUGGUAGAUCCUCUUUGACAAACCUGAUUUCAUUCUAUGACAAGGUGACCCGCUUAGUGGAUGAAGGUAAGGCUGUCGAUAUGUUCUACCUGGAUUUCAGUAAGGCCUUUGACACUGUCCCCCACAACAUUCUUGUGGAGAAGCUGGCUGCCCACAGUUUGGAUGGGCGUACGCUCCUCUGCAUGAAACAUUGGCUGCAUGGCUGGGCCCAAAGAGUUGUGGUCAGUGGAGUUAAAUCCAGUUGGCAGCCAGUCACAAGCAGUGCCCCCCAGGGCUCGGUACUGGGGAUGCUUCUAUUUAAGAUCUUUAUUAACAAUCUUGAUGAGGGGAUUGAGUGCACCCUCAGUAAGUUUGCAGAUGACACAAAGUUGUGAGGGAGUGUUGAUCUGCCAGAGGGGAGAAAAGCACUACAGAGGGACCUGGAUAGACUGGAUCGAUGGGCCAAGGUAAACUGUGAGUUUCAAUAGGGUCAAGUGUAGGGUCCUGCAUUUUGGUUAUAAC